rnacentral:tRNA from 1 species
ACCCUGUUAGCUCAGAUGGUAAAGAAUCUGCCUGCAAUGCAGAAAACCUGGGUUCGAUCCCUAGGUCGGGAA